AGAAAGAUGUUAAGGUUUCAGGCGAUUAUAUAAGGCUGCUUCACAAUGGUGGAGGUAAAUUUCGACAAGGCGAAUUUGAGGUUAAUUUAUUCAAUUUUGGGGUUUAUGUCUCACACACAAUCACAAAUAUAUGUGAUAUGAUUACUGAUUGAGAAUAAUAAAUUUGAGGUAAUAGAACCUAUUUAUUUAUUUAUUGGGUUUUAAUUUUUGAAUUCUUUUUAUGCUGAUUUUGUUUGUUAUUUUUUGUGGGAAUAAGCAACGCAUGCAAUUAUUUUGUUAUUUUGUGUCUUCUUUGUAAUUAGGCAUGAAGUUAAGAUGAUAGAACACAUUUUUACUUGUGAUUUUGAUUAUGUAGAAUAUAUUGUUCUUUUUUGUUAAACAAUAAUUCCAGAGGGAGCUAGAAUAUUCG
rnacentral:lncRNA from 1 species